rnacentral:rRNA from 1 species
GACGAACGCUGGCGGCGUGCUUAACACAUGCAAGUCGAACGGAAAGGCCCUGCUUGCAGGGUGCUCGCGUGGCGAACGGGUGAGUAACACGUGGGUGAUCUGCCCCUUACUUUGGGAUAAGCCUGGGAAACUGGGUCUAAUACUGGAUAGGACCAUGCUGUAGGCGGUGUGGUGGAUAGAUUAGUUUCGGUAAGGGGUGAGCUCGCGGCCGAUCAGCUUGUUGGUGGGGUAAUGGCCUACCAAGGCGUCGACGGGUAGCCGGCCUGAGAGGGUGGACGGCCACAUUGGGACUGAGAUGCGGCCCAGACUCCUACGAGAGGCAGCAGUGGGGAAUAUUGCACAAUGGGCGCAAGCCUGAUGCAGCGACGCCGCGUGGGGGAUGACGGCCUUCGGGUUGUAAACUCCUUUCAGCCAUGACGAAGCCCUUGUGGUGACGGUAGUGGUAGAAGAAGCACCGGCUAACUACGUG